rnacentral:rRNA from 1 species
AUUGAACGCUGGCGGAAUGCUUUACACAUGCAAGUCGAACGGCAGCACGGACUUCGGUCUGGUGGCGAGUGGCGAACGGGUGAGUAAUGUAUCGGAACGUGCCCAGUCGUGGGGGAUAACGUAGUGAAAAUUACGCUAAUACCGCAUACGAUCUAUGGAUGAAAGCGGGGGAUCGCAAGACCUCGCGCGAUUGGAGCGGCCGAUAUCAGAUUAGGUAGUUGGUGGGGUAAAGGACCACCAAGCCAACGAUCUGUAACUGGUCUGAGAGGACGACCAGCCACACUGGAACUGAGACACGGUCAAGACUCCUACGGGAGGCAGCAGUGGGGAAUUUUGGACAAUAGGCGAAAGCCUGAUCCAGCCAUUCCGCGUGCAGGAUGAAGGCCCUCGGGUUGUAAACUGCUUUUGUACAGAACGAAAAGGUUUCUACUAAUACUAGGAGCUCAUGACGGUACUGUAAGAAUAAGCACCGGCUAACUACGUGCCAGCCGCCGCAGUAA